AGAGCAACAGGGAAGGGUGAGAAGAAGAAGAAGAAGAGCUGGGCGCGUUAGCUUUUAGAGACGGAAGCUGUAGAGUUGUUGUUGUUGUUGUUGUUGUUCACCUUGCCAAGAAGAGGAAUAAAAUUCCACAAGCUUCCAUCUUCCUCCUCCUUGUUUUGCCGCCAGCAGAGCAGAACGUAUGAGCUUGUUACCAGCAAACGAGCCGAAAUAGGCACCACCCAGUUGCAUUCCUUCCUUUUGCUAGAAUAGGUUUAUUUAUCUUUUUUUUAUACCGGCUGUAAAUAUAAAGCUUGCCAACAAUCCACAUUUUAUCUUUUCAAAGCGAUAUUUUCAACAUAUCAUGAAUACAGCAUCUGCCUAUGCGUAACUAAAACAGAAAGUGAAACUAUUCCGACAUUUUAGCUGGCUCGAAUAGCAAUGUGAGUUUAGAGAGCGUCAAAAAAACUGUGAAAGUCUUUACAAAUAACUCUCAAGUGUUGAAUCUCAGCUGAGGGAGAUCUGGAAACAUCAGGAUGGUUUACUGCGUUGUUAAGACAUUAACGGGGAGGUCUUUCAUGGUAGACCUCGGCAACACAGAGGAGAUGCAGAGAGUAACCGUGGGUCAGCUGAAGACAAAGAUAUUUCAGACUGAGGGAAACCCAGAAGACCAGCAACGAUUGCUGUUUGGCGGCAAAGAGUUGGAGGACACAAACCGGCUGUGUGAAUAUGGAAUCCAACACGAGUCCAUAAUAACGUUGGUUUUAAGACUGAGAGGUGGUGGACUGCCUCAGACUGACUCAGAUGAUGAACUGAGUGAUAAGGAGGGUGAAACUCGAAGAAGUAGAGAAAAGUUGGCUGAUUUUCGCUGUUGUUUAUUGUGAUGUAUUUUUAGUUAUUUUAAUAAAAUUAUGUGUAACCCAAGUUAAAAUAGCCCUCACUAAAUAUAAGCCUUUUCAUAAAAAUAGCUAUAAAAAUGCAUGAAUAAGAAAUAAAUAAAUAGGUCUUAAAAUAGUUUAAAAAAUAAUAAUAAUUAUAGACAUUAUAAAUGCUGUAUUUUAUGUUAUGAUAUUUUGUUUGGUUUGAAACUGUGUGAAACAGAUAUAUUUUGUCAGCAGGUAAAACGGUCACGUCUGAGGAAAACUCUUAUUCUGAAGGGUCGCAUUAAUGUGUAGCCCAUGUGACUAGCUCCAGCCAACCGGGUUGCUACGUUUUCUGGCGCUAGAAGAAGAAGCAGAGUGGAAGAUUUAAAGAUGGUAUUGUUAUAUAUACAGAUGGAUCUAAAGAUCCAAAUAGUGGUAGAACAGGAGCAGCUGUGAAUAUCCCACACCAUAAAGUCAUGGUUAACAGGAGAACAACAGAUCAUCAAGUAUAUAUCACUUAUUAGUUCAGUUGCAUAAUAAGAAAUGUUCUGUUCGAUUUAUCUGGAUUCCUGCUCAUGUAGGUAUAGAAGGGAAUGAAGAAGUAGAUAUAUUAGCUAAACAGGCCUUGAAAUCAGAUAUUAUUACGGUAAUUUAAAUAUUCCAUUAAGCAAAGCCAAGGGUAAAUCUAUUAUUCAAAAUAAAAUCCUUAAGGUUUGGCAGGACCAAUGGGAUAAUCAUGACACUGGUAGAGAUUUAUAUAAAAUUCAAAAGACUGUGGGGGUUAUGAGUUGUAUGAAUGGAAGGCGGAAAGAAGAGGCUGUUCUAUCUUGACUUAGAAUUGGUCACACUGGACUUAAUAGUUCUCUUUUCAGAAUAGGGAAACAUAAAACAGGGACUUGUAAUUAUUGUAAUCAGAUAGAAACAGUGGAAGAUGUUUUAUUAAAAUGCAAUAAGUAUUCAGAGGAACGUCGGUGGUUAAAGUUGAUACUAAAUAGAGAGAAAAUAGGAUUUUCUAUGAUAAAUCUUUUAGGAAGUAAAUCAAUUUCUGUUAGAAAUCGAUUGAUUAGAU